GCCCCCGUAGUUCAACUGGAUAGAACAGCGCCGUCCUAAGGCGCGUGUUGUGGGUUCGAGUCCUGCCGGGGGCG
rnacentral:tRNA from 1 species